rnacentral:misc_RNA from 1 species
UCCGUAGGUGAACCUGCGGAAGGAUCAUUACCGAGUGAGGGUCCCUCGUGGGCCCAUCCUCCCACCCGUGUCUCUAGCUACCGUGUUGCUUCGGCGGGCCCACUGGGCCACCGUGUCCGGUCACCCGGAGGAUGCUCCCUCCGGGCCCGUGCCCGCCGGAGAACCCACAAACUCUGUCUGAACCAGUUUGUCUGAGUGCAGAUUGUAAUCGUCAAAACUUUCAACAACGGAUCUCUUGGUUCCGGCAUCGAUGAAGAACGCAGCGAAAUGCGAUAAGUAAUGUGAAUUGCAGAAUUCCGUGAAUCAUCGAAUCUUUGAACGCACAUUGCGCCCUCUGGCAUUCCGGGGGGCAUGCCUGUCCGAGCGUCAUUUCUGCCCCUCAAGCGCGGCUUGUGUGUUGGGCGUUGUCCCCCUCGCUUCCCGGCGGGGGGACAUGCCCGAAAGGCAGCGGCGGCGUCGCGUCCGGUCCUCGAGCGUAUGGGGCUCUGUCACUCGCUCUGGAGACCCGGCCGGUGCCCGCCACCCACCCAUAUCUUUCUAGGUUGACCUCGGAUCAGGUAGGGAUACCCGCUGAACUUAAGCAUAUCAAUAAGCGGAGGAAAAGAAACCAACAGGGAUUGCCUCAGUAACGGCGAGUGAAGCGGCAAGAGCUCAAAUUUGAAAUCUGGCCCCCCCGGGGGGUCCGAGUUGUAAUUUGGAGAGGAUGCUUCGGGUGUGGCCCCCGUCUAAGUGCCCUGGAAGGGGCCGUCAUAGAGGGUGAGAAUCCCGUCUGGGACGGGCGGCCAGGCCCGUGUGAAGCUCCUUCGACGAGUCGAGUUGUUUGGGAAUGCAGCUCUAAAUGGGUGGUAAAUUUCAUCUAAAGCUAAAUAUUGGCCGGAGACCGAUAGCGCACAAGUAGAGUGAUCGAAAGAUGAAAAGCACUUUGAAAAGAGAGUUAAACAGCACGUGAAAUUGUUGAAAGGGAAGCGCUUGCAACCAGACUCGCCCGGGGAGGCUCAAUCGGCACUUGUGCCGGUGCACUCCCCCCCGGGUGGGCCAGCGUCGGUUUGGGCGGUCGGUCAAAGGUCCCCGGAAUGUAUCACCCCCCGGGGUGUCUUAUAGCCGGGGACGCAAUGCGGCCAGCCCGGACCGAGGAACGCGCUUCGGCUCGGACGCUGGCGUAAUGGUUGUAAGCGGCCCGUCUUGAAACACGGACCAAGGAGUCU